rnacentral:rRNA from 1 species
GGCGAACGGGUGAGAAACGCGUGGGUGACCUACCCUCGAGUGGGGGAUAACGUUCCGAAAGGGACGCUAAUACCGCAUGACAUUCCGGGUUCGAAGACCUGGAAAUCAAAGCCGGGGACCGCAAGGCCUGGCGCUCGGGGAGGGGCCCGCGUCUGAUUAGCUAGUUGGCGGGGUAACGGCCCACCAAGGCGACGAUCAGUAGCCGGCCUGAGAGGGCGGACGGCCACACUGGGACUGAGACACGGUCCAGACUCCUACGGGAGGCAGCAGUGGGGAAUUGUUCGCAAUGGGCGCAAGCCUGACGACGCAACGCCGCGUGGAGGAUGAAGGUCUUUGGAUUGUAAACUCCUGUUGAUCGGGACGAACGACUCCGACCCAAUACGUCGGAGAGUGACGGUACCGGUUGAGGAAGCCACGGCUAACUCUGUGCCAGCAGCCGCGGUAAUACAGAGGUGGCGAGCGUUGUUCGGAAUUACUGGGCGUAAAGGGCGCGUAGGCGGCCUUCUAAGUCGAACGUGAAAGCCCCAGGCUUAACCUGGGAACUGCGUUUGAUACUGGAAGGCUUGGAUUCGGGAGAGGGAUGUGGAAUUCCAGGUGUAGCGGUGAAAUGCGUAGAUAUCUGGAGGAACACCGGUGGCGAAGGCGGCA